ensembl:snRNA U6 U6 spliceosomal RNA
GUGCUCAAUUCGGCAGCACGUAUACUAAAAUUGGAAUACUUCAGAGAAGAUUAGCAUGGUCCCUGCACAAGGAUGACACAGAAAUUUGUAAAGCAUUCCACAUUUUU